rnacentral:snRNA from 1 species
GAACCAGCAACGGUAGUACAUAUUCUAAAAUUGGAACGAUACAGAGAAGAUCAGCAUGGCCCCUGCACAAGGAUGACACGCAAAUUCGUGAAGCGUUCCAUAUUUUC